CCUACGGGGGGCAGCAGUGGGGGAUAUUGCACAAUGGGGGGAACCCUGAUGCAGCGACGCCGCGUGGGUGAAGGAGUGCUUCGGCAUGUAAAGCCCUAUCGGCAGGGAAGAAGCAAGACGGUACCUGACUAAGAAGCCCCGGCUAACUACGUGCCAGCAGCCGCGGUAAUACGUAGGGGGCGAGCGUUAUCCGGAUUCACUGGGUGUAAAGGGAGCGUAGACGGCCAUGCAAGCCAGGGGUGAAAGCCCGGGGCCCAACCCCGGGACUGCCCUUGGAACUGCAUGGCGGGAGUGCGGGAGGGGCAGGCGGAAUUCCUGGUGUAGCGGUGAAAUGCGUAGAUAUCUGGAGGAACAUCAGUGGCGAAGGCAGCUCACUGGACUGCAACUGACACUGAGGCUCGAAAGUGUGGGUAUCAAACAGGAUUAGAUACCCUUGUAGUC
rnacentral:rRNA from 1 species